GGGCGGAUAAUUCUUCUUUGGAGGUUGAAUAUCAAAUUCCUGCUCCUCUUCAUCUUCAUCUAAAUUUAUUAUAUCUCAAGAUAAUAUUUUAUCCUUUCAGAAUAUGCAGGAAUCUUUGAAUUACUGAAGGCACCACAGUCACCUAGUUAAAAAUUUCUCUAAUCUGUCCAUUGUGACUGAAUCUUACUUCCUCUUCUUCUUCACCUUCACUACUGUCAAUUUCAAUAAUUUCUUUUUCCUCCUCCUCAUCUUCACUACUCCCAAUCUUCACAACUUCCCUUUCAACUUUUCUUUUACUCCUUGUGACAACAACUUUGCAUUCCUCUUUAGGGUUAACAUCAGUGUUAGCCCUAAAUUGGUUCUUUUCAGUGGUUUAUACCCUUUUUGACAUCUGGCCAAUUUGCAUCUCCAAAGAUCUGAAACUAGCUUAGU
rnacentral:lncRNA from 1 species